rnacentral:rRNA from 1 species
UUUUGCUAGUCAUAAAACCACUAGUGAAUAAGGGGUGGGCAAGUUCUGGUGUCAGCCGCCGCGGUAAAACCAGCACCUCAAGUGGUCGGGGUGAUUAUUGGGCCUAAAGCAUCCGUAGCCGGCUCUGUAGGUCCUCUGUUAAAUUCAUGCGCUCAACGUAUGGGCUGCCGAAAAUACUGUAGAGAUAGGGAGUGGGAGAGGUAGAGGUACUCGGGAGGAAGUGGUAAAAUGCUUUGAUCUCUCGAUGACCACCUGUGGCGAAGGCGGUCUACCAGAACAUGUCCGACGGUGAGGGAUGAAAGCUGGGGGAGCAAACCGGAUUAGAUACCCGGGUAGUCCCAGCUGUAAACUAUGCAAACUCAGUGAUGCACUGGCUUGUGGCCAGUGCAGUGUUGCAGGGAAGCCGUUAAGUUUGCCGCCUGGGAAGUACGUACGCAAGUAUGAAACUUAAAGGAAUUGGCGGGGGAGCACCACAAGGGGUGAAGCCUGCGGUUCAAUUGGAUUCAACGCCGGAAAUCACUAGUGAAUU